GCUUUCGUGGUGUAGUGGUCAGCACGCUUGACGCGUAACCGAGAAGUCCGUGGUUCGAUUCCUGGCGGAGACG
rnacentral:tRNA from 1 species